rnacentral:rRNA from 1 species
ACGUAGGUGGCAAGCGUUGUCCGGAAUUAUUGGGCGUAAAGCGCGCGCAGGUGGGAUGUUAAGUCACUUGUAAAAGUGCGGGGCUCAACCCCGUAAAGCGACUGAUACUGGCAUUCUUGAGUGCAGGAGAGGAAAGCGGAAUUCCCAGUGUAGCGGUGAAAUGCGUAGAUAUUGGGAGGAACACCAGUGGCGAAGGCGGCUUUCUGGACUGUGUCUGACACUGAGGCGCGAAAGCCAGGGGAGCGAACGG